AUUGAACGCUGGCGGAAUGCUUUACACAUGCAAGUCGAACGGCAGCACGGACUUCGGUCUGGUGGCGAGUGGCGAACGGGUGAGUAAUAUAUCGGAACGUGCCCAGUCGUGGGGGAUAACGUAGUGAAAAUUACGCUAAUACCGCAUACGAUCUACGGAUGAGAGCGGGGGAUAGCAAGACCUCGCGCGAUUGGAGCGGCCGAUAUCAGAUUAGGUAGUUGGUGGGGUAAAGGCUCACCAAGCCAACGAUCUGUAGCUGGUCUGAGAGGACGACCAGCCACACUGGGACUGAGACACGGCCCAGACUCCCACGGGAGGCAGCAGUGGGGAAUUUUGGACAAUGGACGCAAGUCUGAUCUAGCCAUUCCGCGUGCAGGACGAAGGCCUUCGGGUUGUAAACUGCUUUUGUACAGAACGAAAAGGUUUCUAUUAAUACUAGGAGCUCAUGACGGUACUGUAAGAAUAAGCACCGGCUAACUACGUGCCAGCCGCCGCGGUAA
rnacentral:rRNA from 1 species